rnacentral:rRNA from 1 species
UACAGAGGUCCCGAGCGUUGUUCGGAUUCACUGGGCGUAAAGGGUGCGUAGGCGGUCAGAUAAGUCUGAUGUGAAAUCUUCGAGCUCAACUCGGAAACUGCAUCGGAAACUAUCUAGCUAGAGGAUUGGAGGGGAGACUGGAAUUCUCGGUGUAGCAGUGAAAUGCGUAGAUAUCGAGAGGAACACCAGUGGCGAAGGCGAGUCUCUGGACAAUUCCUGACGCUGAGGCACGAAAGCUAGGGGAGCAAACAGG